CUACGGUGGGCGGGAGGGGACGAUCGUCGCGGCCUUCCCAGCCGCGCAUGCGCACAACUCAAGACGCUCAGCUUCACUGCGUCUUUGUGGAGAAAGUAAUUGAAAAGUUCUGGAGGUUCAAGGAUAUGGCACUGGCAUCAGCAAUGAUUCUACUCUGAGUUCCAUAAGACAAAGUGUUUACCUCUGUUUUAUCUUAAUGGCAGAGUGGACAGUGAGAGAGACAUAGAGAAAGGUCUUCCUUUGCCGUUGGUUCACCCUCCAAUGGCCGCGCUGAUCCGAAGGCAGGAGCCAGGUGCUUCUCCUGGUCUCCCAUGGGGUGCAGGGCCCAAGGACUUGGGCCAUCCUCCACUGCACUCCCGGGUGGGAUCUGUCCUUAAUGUGUUGUCCAAUGUGAAGUAAUGCUAUAACUAGUACUGAAACAGUAUUUAACACUUUGUGUUUCUGUGUGGGUGCAAACUGAUGAAAUCUUUACUUAAUAUAUACUAAAUUGAUCUUCUGUGUAUAAAGAUAAUUGAAAAUGAAUCUUGAUGUGAAUGGAAUGGGAGAGGGAGUGGGAGAUGGGAGGGGUGCGAGUGGGAGGGAAAUUAUGGGGGGGGGAAGCUGUUGUAAUCCAUAAACUGUACUUUGGAAAUUUAUAUUUACUAAAUAAAAAAUAAAAA